CAUAGGCAUAACUGAAACUUGGUGGGAUAAUACGCAUGAUUGGAACACAGAGCUCGAAGGAUACAACUUAUUUAAAUAAAACAGGCUUAAUAAAAGGGGAGGAGGUAUUGCAUUGUAUGUAAGGAAAAUAUAUACCACCACAGAGAUUAAUCUUUCAGAUAAUGGAAGCCCUGUAGAAACCGUUUGGGUGAAAAUACAAGGAGAGAGCAACACAAAGGAUACUGUUGUAGGAGUUUAUUAUAGACCCCCUGGACAAACAGAAUAUAUGGAUGAACUAUUUAUAUAUCAGAUGGCCAAGCUCUCGGGGAAACACGACCUAGUCAUUAUGGGAGAUUUUAACUAUCCGGACAUUUGUUGGGAAUCUCUCUCUGGCAAAAGUCAUGGGUCCAAUAAAUUCUUAUCCUCUCUGGCAGAUAACUUCAUUUUCCAAAGGACUGAGGAAAAAACAAGGGGGUCUGCUAUCUUGGACCUAAUCCUUACCAACAGGGAGGAAAUGGUUGAGGAAGUAAGGGUGACUGGGACCCUGGGUGGCAGUGACCAUGCUAUCAUUGAGUUUUGGAUAACAAAAGGAGGAAGAUCUGAGAGGACUCGGACUUCAAGGUUAGAUUUCAGAGGAGCAGAUUUUGAUGGACUCAGAAGGAGGGUAGGAAGGAUCCAUUGGCUGGAUGUCUUAAAGGACAGAAAUGUCCAGGAAGGAUGGGAAAUUUUGAGAAAGGAGAUUCUAGAGGCACAAUCUUUAACAAUUCCUAAAAGAAAAAAGAAUGGCAAGCAUCUAAAGAGACCAGGGUGGAUGAACCCUGAACUUAAUAACUUGCUAAAAAGAAAAAAAGAAAUGUUUAAAAAAUGGAAAGAGGGGGACAUAUCAAAAGAAGAAUAUAAUGCAACUUGCAGGAACUGCAGGAUAAGUGUCAGAAAGGCUAAAGCUAAAAAUGAAUUGAGGAUUGCAAGAGAGGCCAAAAACAAUAAAAAAGGCUUUUGGGGGUAUGUCAGAAGCAAAAGAAAAGUCAAAGAAGCUAUAGGACCUUUACAAAAUGAGAAGGGUGAUUUGGUCAAAAACGAUAUUCAGAAGGCAGAACUUCUGAACUCCUAUUUUGCAUCUGUUUUCUCUCAGAAAGGAAAGGAAACAUCAGUUGGCCUUCACUGUGCUGUUGAGGGAAUAAGAGAAUCAAGGCUCUGUAUGGACAAGGAGAAGGUGAGGGAACACUUAGC
rnacentral:lncRNA from 1 species